UUACGGCCAUAUAGUGUUGAAACACCAGUUCCUAUAUGAACACCGAUGUUAAGCAAUGUUAAGUCUGGUCAGUACCUAGAUGGUUGAUCCCUUGGAAAUCACAGGUGGUGUAAG